rnacentral:rRNA from 1 species
CCUACGGGGGGCAGCAGUGGGGAAUAUUGGACAAUGGGGGCAACCCUGAUCCAGCCAUGCCGCGUGUGUGAAGAAGGCCCUCGGGUUGUAAAGCACUUUCAGUGAGGAAGAACGCCUGGUGGUUAAUACCCAUCAGGAAAGACAUCACUCACAGAAGAAGCACCGGCUAACUCCGUGCCAGCAGCCGCGGUAAUACGGAGGGUGCGAGCGUUAAUCGGAAUUACUGGGCGUAAAGCGCGCGUAGGUGGCUUGACAAGCCGGUUGUGAAAGCCCCGGGCUCAACCUGGGAACGGCAUCCGGAACUGUCAAGCUAGAGUGCAGGAGAGGAAGGUAGAAUUCCCGGUGUAGCGGUGAAAUGCGUAGAGAUCGGGAGGAAUACCAGUGGCGAAGGCGGCCUUCUGGACUGACACUGACACUGAGGUGCGAAAGCGUGGGUAGCAAACAGGAUUAGAUACCCCAGUAGUC